UGCUUCUCUGGCCGUGAAACAGGCAGCAGGCACAUGGCACCACAUUCGGGCCUUCAACUGUGGGGCUCUCUGCUCUGCUCUGCUCUGCUCGGCGUUGCGUCCUCCAUUUGGUGGAGAUUAUGCCGAGGCUCAAAUGAGGAAAACUUCAGGGAAAAUCAAACGAUUCGUAGAUGCUCUUUUGGGGAGUUCGAUGGGAGCUAAAGUACUGAUGGAUACUCUCUGCUUUAUACUGGGGAGCUCCACAGUUUAAUUGGGAUUUAUUCAGUCAA